rnacentral:rRNA from 1 species
GACGAACGCGGCGGCGUGCCUAAUACAUGCAAGUAGAACGCUGAAGGAGGAGCUUGCUUCUCUGGAUGAGUUGCGAACGGGUGAGUAACGCGUAGGUAACCUGCCUGGUAGCGGGGGAUAACUAUUGGAAACGAUAGCUAAUACCGCAUAAGAGUAGAUGUUGCAUGACAUUUGCUUAAAAGGUGCAAUUGCAUCACUACCAGAUGGACCUGCGUUGUAUUAGCUAGUUGGUGAGGUAACGGCUCACCAAGGCAACGAUACAUAGCCGACCUGAGAGGGUGAUCGGCCACACUGGGACUAAGACACGGCCCAGACUCCUACGGGAGGCAGCAGUAGGGAAUCUUCGGCAAUGGACGGAAGUCUGACCGAGCAACGCCGCGUGAGUGAAGAAGGUUUUCGGAUCGUAAAGCUCUGUUGUAAGAGAAGAACGAGUGUGAGAGUGGAACGUUCACACUGUGACG